rnacentral:rRNA from 1 species
UACAGAGGCCCCAAGCAUUAUCCGGAUUCACUGGGCGUAAAGGGUGCGUAGGCGGUGUGAUUAGUCAGGUGUUAAAUCCUGGGGCUUAACCUCAGAAUCGCAUUUGAAACGGUCAUACUAGAAGAAGUCAGAGGUAAACAGAACUCUCGGUGUAGGGGUGAAAUCCGUUGAUAUCGAGGGGAAUACCAAAUGCGAAGGCAGUUUACUGGGACUUUCUUGACGCUGAGGCACGAAAGCGUGGGUAGCGAAUCGG